rnacentral:rRNA from 1 species
CACGGGGGGAGCGAGCGUUGUUCGGAAUUACUGGGUUUAAAGGGUGCGUAGGCGGCGCAAGUAAGUCAGGAGUGAAAGUUUGCGGCUCAACCGUAAAAUUGCUUUUGAUACUGCUGUGCUAGAAUUAGGAUGAGGUCAGCGGAAUGUGGCAUGUAGCGGUGAAAUGCAUAGAUAUGCCAUAGAACACCAAUUGCGAAGGCAGCUGGCUAGACCUGGAUUGACGCUGAGGCACGAAAGCGUGGGGAUCGAACAGG